GAAGCUCCUUUUUAGUUUAAAAGGAAUUAUUUGUUUGUAUCAAAAUUAUAUAUAUUCAGAGACUAAGUGCUAGUCUCAGAUGGUCCUGUUAGACGUGGAAAUCAUAUCCAAUCCAGUUUAUGCCUGGUAAGUUAAUUUUAUUUUACAAAAGUUUCUGAAUAUGAAACAUUGUAAAUUCAUAAUUUAUGUAUGUUGUUAGGAUGAUAACUAAAUCUAGUAGUAUUUUAAAUACUUUAUCAGUUCAGGAGAAAAAUUAUAAUUUCUUAAUCUCACUUUUGAAUUUAAGUUCAUAAUCAUUUUGAGAAUAAUAUUGUUAACAUUUUGAUGUUACAUAAUGCAGACAAUUAUGAACGGGAUCAAGAGACGUUGAGCUUGGAAGAGGAGAAAUGUGAUCUUCAAAUUGCAGAAUCAGAGGAGGAGUCUGUGAGGCAUUCCAAAGGGAGGAAGGGGAUUGAGAUGUAGUAUCUGUGAGAAGGUACUAAAAUGUAAAGGUGGAUAUACUGUUCAUCAGCAGAUGCACUGGAAGUGAAAAGAAAAGUAGACAGUUCAGGCAUUUCUACAGAUUUCCAAGCGUGAAUGCUCUUAUGUCCAGCUGAGAACAAAAAUGAUGAACAAGCAGAAAAUACAGCAGCAAAGGACAAGGAAGAGAUGGCACACAUUUCAAGAAU